GAUGAACGCUGGCGGCGUGCCUAAUACAUACAAGUCGAGCGAACAGACGAGGAGCUUGCUCCUCUGACGUUAGCGGCGGACGGGUGAGUAACACGUGGAUAACCUACCUAUAAGACUGGGAUAACUUCGGGAAACCGGAGCUAAUACCGGAUAAUAUAUUGAACCGCAUGGUUCAAUAGUGAAAGACGGUUUUGCUGUCACUUAUAGAUGGAUCCGCGCCGCAUUAGCUAGUUGGUAAGGUAACGGCUUACCAAGGCAACGAUGCGUAGCCGACCUGAGAGGGUGAUCGGCCACACUGGAACUGAGACACGGUCCAGACUCCUACGGGAGGCAGCAGUAGGGAAUCUUCCGCAAAGGGCGAAAGCCUGACGGAGCAACGCCGCGUGAGUGAUGAAGGUCUUCGGAUCGUAAAACUCUGUUAUUAGGGAAGAACAAAUGUGUAAGUAACUAUGCACGUCUUGACGGUACCUAAUCAGAAAGCCACGGCUAACUACGUG
rnacentral:rRNA from 1 species